AUUGAACGCUGGCGGCAGGCCUAACACAUGCAAGUCGAACGAGUGGCGGACGGGUGAGUAAUGUCUGGGAAACUGCCUGCUGGUGGGGGAUAACUACUGGAAACGGUAGCUAAUACCGUAUACCAUCAGAUGUGCCCAGAUGGGAUUAGCGUGUUGGUGGGGUAACGGCUCACCAAGGCGACGAACCCUAGCUGGUCUGAGAGGAUGACCAGCCACACUGGAACAGAGAAACGGUCCAGACGCCUACGGGAGGCGGCAGUGGGGAAUAUUGGACAAUGGGAGCAAGCCUGAUGCAGCCAUGCCGCGUGUAUGAAGAAGGCCUUCGGGUUGUAAAGUACUUUCAGCGGGGAGGCGUUACCCGCAGAGGAAGCACCGGCUAACUCCGUGCCCGCCGCCGCGGUAAUUC
rnacentral:rRNA from 1 species